rnacentral:lncRNA from 1 species
CGCUCGUGCGCGUUCUCCACCAAUCAAGAAGGCUUGAGAGGCCCUGCGGGUGUGACGUAAGUGGGCCGGGCUGAGCGAGCCGCCUGGCGGGGAGCACUUAGUCUCCGCCCGCGGGUUUGCGCCGGAGCUUCGGAAAGGCUGGUCAGGUCAGAGCCAAGGGGUUUGCUUCCAGAAGGCGGGGCCAGUAGGGUCUUUCUCACUUUUCAUGCACCAGAGCCUGGAGCUGAAUGCAGGGAGCCACCAAAGAGAAGCUGAUGUUAACAGUCAUUGUUCAGAGGCCUCAGUUUUCUGGGCAUCCCAGGACAUUACCAAAUGGAACCCCAACAACUCAUCCUCUGCCCUCAACACCCCUCCUCCUUCAGUAUUCUGAUCCUUCCUUCCAAAGACCUGCCUCCCUCACCACAUGUAGAUUCUUCCAAUAAAG